rnacentral:rRNA from 1 species
AUUGAACGCUGGCGGCAUGCCUUACACAUGCAAGUCGAACGGCAGCACGGGUGCUUGCUCCUGGUGGCGAGUGGCGAACGGGUGAGUAAUACAUCGGAACAUGUCCUGUAGUGGGGGAUAGCCCGGCGAAAGCCGGAUUAAUACCGCAUACGAUCUACGGAUGAAAGCGGGGGACCGUCGGGCCUCGCGCUAUAGGUUUGGCCGAUGGCUGAUUAGCUAGUUGGAGGGGUAAAGGCCCACCAAGGCGACGAUAAGUAGCUGGUCUGAGAGGACGACCGGCCACAUGGGGACGGAGACACGGCCCAAACUCCUACGGGAGGCAGCAGUAGGGAAUCUUCGGCAAUGGACGAAAGUCUGACCGAGCAACGACGCGUGAGUGAAGAAGGUUUUCGGAUCGUAAAACGCUGUUGGUAGAGAAGAACGUUGGUGAGAGUGGAAAGCUCAUCAAGUGACGGUAACGACCCAGAAAGGGACGGCUAACUACGUG